rnacentral:miRNA from 1 species
AGGACCUUCCCUGAACCAAGGA